rnacentral:misc_RNA from 1 species
CCAAAUCUAUGGCCGAAAGGCCUUGCCCUAGGGGGGAGACUCCCGACGGUAAACCCUUUGUGAAAACCCUCUUGUUUGCCUCGGCGGCACACCCUUUCGGGGGUGGUCAGCCCGCCGACGGCACCCAACCAAAACUCUUUUUGAAUUGAAGAAUCUAGUCUGAAUCAAUGGUCGAAUGACUAUA